rnacentral:rRNA from 1 species
UACGUAGGGGGCCAGCGUUGCUCGGAAUUACUGGGCGUAAAGGGUCCGUAGGCGGUGUGGUAAGUCGAUAGUGAAAUCUCUGGGCUUAGCCCAGAGGCUGCUGACGAAACUACCAUGCUAGAGUGUGAGAGAGGCGAGUGGAAUUCCGGGUGUAGCGGUGGAAUGCGUAGAGAUCCGGAAGAACACCCGUGGCGAAGGCGGCUGACUGGAUCGCAACUGACACUGAGGAACGAAAGCUAGGGGAGCAAACAGG